rnacentral:rRNA from 1 species
UACGUAGGGUGCGAGCGUUAAUCGGAAUUACUGGGCGUAAAGCGUGCGCAGGCGGUUUCGUAAGCCAGAUGUGAAAUCCCCGGGCUUAACCUGGGAAUUGCAUUUGGGACUGCGAGGCUAGAGUACGGCAGAGGGAGGUGGAAUUCCACGUGUAGCAGUGAAAUGCGUAGAUAUGUGGAGGAACACCGAUGGCGAAGGCAGCCUCCUGGGCUAGUACUGACGCUCAUGCACGAAAGCGUGGGGAGCAAACAGG